CAAUAGCGUAUAUUAAAGUUGUUGCAGUUAAAAAGCUCGUAGUUGAACUUGUGCGUGCCCCUGAUGUCCUUUUUGGUACGUUUGGGGGUGUGCAUCCUUGGGUGGAAUCUGUGUGGCAUUAGGUUGUCGUGCAGGGGAUGCUCAUCGUUUACUGUGAAAAAAUUAGAGUGUUCAAAGCAGGCUUAUGCCGUUGAAUAUAUUAGCAUGGAAUAAUAAGAUAGGACCUCGGUACUAUUUUGUUGGUUUGCGCACUGAGGUAAUGAUUAACAGGGACAGUUGGGGGUAUUCGUAUUCCAUUGUCAGAGGUGAAAUUCUUGGAUUUCUGGAAGACGAACUACUGCGAAGGCAUUUACCAAGGAUGUUUUCAUUA
rnacentral:rRNA from 1 species